AGAAUGAACGCUGGCGGCGUGCUUAACACAUGCAAGUCGUGCGCGAAGGUGGCUUCGGCUACCGGAGAGCGGCGAACGGGUGAGUAACACGUGGGUGAUCUGCCUGAGAGCGGGGGAUAACCGUGGGGAAACUCGGGCUAAUACCGCAUACGUUGAUUUGGUUACGGCCAAGUCAAGAAAGCUGGCCUCUAUUUAUAAGCUAGCGCUCACAGAGGAGCCCGCGGCUGAUUAGCUAGUUGGUAGGGUAAUGGCCUACCAAGGCGACGAUCAGUAGCCGGCCUGAGAGGGUGAUCGGCCACACUGGGACUGAGACACGGCCCAGACUCCUACGGGAGCAGCAGUGGGGAAUAUUGGACAAGUGGG
rnacentral:rRNA from 1 species